rnacentral:tRNA from 6 species
UAAAAAGUCCUUUAGACA